UAGCUCCGUUGACAGCUCUCCGCGCAAUUUCGACGGAAAAUCGCAGCGAUCGGUGCGACGGUGCGACUGUGCGACCAACCGGUUGGUCGCAGCCGAAAAUCGGGGGGUCGGCAUUGCGACUGCGAUUUUCAUCGCAAACGACGGAAAUCGCACUUCCGGUGCGACGAAAAUCGCAUCAUGUGAAACAUUAGGCUAGUGUUCCUGUAUAUGCUCCCGCAGGGAGCAGAGUUGCGCAUACCUUUUCCGGCGCCGCUCGCACCGCUAUUCGCCGAGCGCUAUCACGUGGUACAAAAAUGACGUCAAAUGAUCAACUGCGCCGCUGCGAAGCCAACUUCACGGGCACGGCGCCUGCUCGUUUCUGUCAGUGACAUCGAAAUUGCAAUCAGCGGACCGUCAAGCGUGCGUUGCACCGAUCGGCUCCUGGUUGCAGUAUGACGGGGUGCAGCGCACCAAACCGAACAAAUCGCACUUAAGGUGCAAAGCUUAUUACGCGGUGCCGUGCGGACCGACGAGACCGGCCAGCUCCGAAAGGGACCAGGAUAUGCGAGGUGCGCUCGCCUUGUUUACAGAGUGACCUUGAAUUCUGCCCCCAAGGCUCCAGGAACCGGCACUCAUCCCCUGCUGCCACGAGCCAUUGCUAAUCCAUUCCCUUGUACGAAAUAAAUUUGAUCC